GGUUGUUGGGUUGCUGCCCCUGAAUUGGUAAUUUUGAGGAAAUUUUGCUGUUUUUGGUUAUUAUCUUGAAUAUUAUUAUAGAUAGAGGUAAACUGUAAACAGCAAUAAUGUUCAGCAAAGUAAGAUCUACAAAUAAGUCAACAUGACCAAAAUGGUCAGGUGACCCGUUUAGGAGUUAUUGCCCUUUAUAGUCAAUUUUUAACCAUUUUUCGUUAAUUAAAGUAAUCUUUUACAAAAAUCUUCUCCUCUGAAACUACUGGGCCAAAUUAAUCCAAACUUGGCCACAAUCAUCUUUGGGGUAUCUAGUUUAAAAAAUGUGUGGCAUGAAUUGGUCAACCAACCAAGAUGGCCGCCACGGCUAAAAAUAGAACAAAGGGGUAAAAUGCAGUUUUUGGCUUAUAACUCAAAACCAAAGCAUUUUGAGGAAAUCUGACAUGGGAUAAAAAUGUUUAUCAGGUCAAGAUCUAUCUGCCCUGAAAUUUUCAGAUGAAUCGGUCAAUCGGUUGUUGGGUUGCUGCCCCUGAAUUGGUAAUUUUGAGGAAAUUUUGCUGUUUUUGGUUAUUAUCUUGAAUAUUAUUAUAGAUAGAGAUAUACUGUAAACAGCAAUAAUGUUCAGCAAAGUAAGAUCUACAAAUAAGUCAACAUGACCAAAAUGGUCAGUUGACCCGUUUAGGAGUUAUUGCCCUUUAUAGUCAAUUUUUAACCAUUUUUCGUAAAUUAAAGUAAUCUUUUACAAAAUCUUCUCCUCUGAAACUACUGGGCCAAAUUAAUCCAAACUUGGCCACAAUCAUCUUUGGGGUAUCUAGUUUAAAAAAUGUGUGGCAUGACCUGGUCAACCAACCAAGAUGGCCGCCACCGCUAAAAAUAGAACAUAGGGGUAAAAUGCAGUUUUUGGCUUAUAACUCAAAAACCAAAGCAUUUUGAGGAAAUCUGACGGAAUAAAAAUGUUUAUCAGGUCAAGAUCUAUCUGCCCUGAAAUUUUCAGAUGAAUCGGUCAAUCGGUUGUUGGGUUGCUGCCCCUGAGUUGG
rnacentral:lncRNA from 1 species